GUAAAUUCAAGAUUAUAUAAUUAGUUUUCUUUCUAUUCUCUUUUCUUUUCAAACAAGAGAAAAUACAUUUACUUUUCCCCAUAAUCAAACAAGAGGAGGUAAAAUAAAUUUCUUUUUAAAACCUUUUUUCCCUACUUUUUUUUUGCUUAUUUUCUUUCCUCCCUCCUUAUCUUUCCUAACAUAGGGUAAAAGGCGCUUUAU
rnacentral:misc_RNA from 1 species